UGAGGAAUAUUGGGCAAUGCCCGCAAGGGUGACCCAGCAACGCCGCGUGGAGGAUGAAUGUCGUAAGAUUGUAAACUCCUGUUAGAGGGGAAGAAUAGUACCGGUUGGACCGGUAUAUGACUGUACCCUCAGAGAAAGCCCCGGCUAACUACGUGCCAGCAGCCGCGGUAAUACGUAGGGGGCAAGCGUUGUCCGGAUUUACUGGGUGUAAAGGGCGCGCAGGCGGGAUAAAAAGUCAGUGGUGAAAUCCUACAGCUUAACUGUAGAACUGCCUUUGAUACUUUUAUUCAUGAGUUCGGGAGAGAGAGACGGAAUUCCAGGUGUAGUGGUGAAAUACGUAGAUAUCUGGAAGAACACCAGUUGCGAAGGCGGUCUCUUGAUCCGACACUGACGCUGAGGCGCGAAAGCGUGGGGAGCAAACA
rnacentral:rRNA from 1 species